rnacentral:lncRNA from 1 species
AGUUUUGACUGUGUUCCGCUCACUGCGCUGAUGCUGACUGAAGGCUGAAGACACAUCGUUUCUGAGCUCAAGAAACUCCCAGACUAGUGGGGAAGACGCACGUCCACGGGACAGCUUCCCGUGCUCUGUGCUGGUGCCAGGACAGAGGAAAAGACAGAACCCUGGUGGCUGGGAAAGGAAAGCUCCUCUUAGGGUAGGGAAAGGGUUGGCAAAAGUGAAGCUUAUCACAUCUGAUUAGAUCUUUGAAGGCCAGAAAAGAAUUAUCCAUCCCAGGGAGUAAAGGAAAACAUUUUCCAGGCUGAGAGAUGCAGAGAUGAAACUAUGGAAGCUUGGAACAGCGCCGUGUAGGCAACAUUCGGUCCUUCACUCAAGCUGGAGCCUAAUAUUCGGAAGGCAGGAAGGAAAAGUGCCCGGAGAUGGGACUAACACGUGGGCAGAAGCAGAUCAUGAAACACAGUGAAAAGCACUCUUCUUAGGAGCUGGAAAACAUUACUUGGCAUGAAACAAGCAACUAUGAACCAUUGUAGCUGCUCUGGUCAGAUGUUCAUUUCUCAUAGAUCACCUCUUUGCGGUAUAAUUCACUCAUCCAAGGGAGGCAAGAGUGGAGGCGAGGAUGGCCACAAGAACGUCGAUUGCAGCUGUUACUGAAAUCCUGGAUGGCCAACGGCAGCCGGAGAAACAGAAAAAGAGCAUCUAAGUAAUAAUUGGGGAGUAAAAUCUGAGCAACAUGUAAAUUCUAGAUCCUGGGAUAAUUUGGCAUCAACAUUUCCUCGGAAUGAACUUAAGAGACGAAGCUGAGAGAGGCACAGGACAAUCAGUCUCAUACAAGCGUCUUGUCUUUGUCACUCCACAGGGCUCCUGCAGUGAGCUCUAAGUCCCAAGAUACCAUGCAACAUUCAAGAAGGAGCCAUCUACCUUGAGAAUAUAGUCUCAGAUUGCCUCACUAGAGGAAAACAAACAAUUUGAAGAAAUCAAGGAUGCUCUUAUGCCACAAUCAAAAUAAACUAAUCUAAAAUUGGUUAAGGAAACAGCCUAAAGGAUGAAAAAGAUGCAUCUCUCAGCUGGAAAGAUGAUCAGGGAUUUCUAGACUUAUUAACACCAUAUGAAAUAAAUUAGCAUCUCGUCCUUUCCAAAGUGAGAACACCAAAGUAAGUUUUUGAUUUCAUAGCAUUAUACAUGAAAAACUGGACAGGGCUCUAGCCUUUUCUGUAGUCCCAGUGACUCCCCGCAUUGCUAAUUCCAGGGCAAGAUUUCAUCCUCAUGUCUG